rnacentral:tRNA from 1 species
GCCAGGUGUAGCUCAAUUGGUAGAGCAACUGACUUGUAAUCAGUAGGUUGGGGGUUCAAGUCCUCUCGCCGGCACCA